rnacentral:lncRNA from 1 species
ACACACAAGGUCUUCAGAUGAUAGGAACAGCUCAUGCUGAAUUUCAUGAACUGAUUAAUUACAACCGCAUCAUACGCCAUAUGUAUUCAAAAAUACGAUUUUUUUUAACAGAUUGGAUUCUAAUUGUUUUACCCUGGAAUUUACCACCACCCAGUUAUAGAAUUCAGAUUACCAUACCAGACACAUCAUCCCAGGGAAUCUAAAGUGUCAUUUCCUCUCUGGAAGAAAGGAAGCACAAAACAUGCUAGGACAAAAUUGGAGAAACUGAUUAUUUUACCCAGGCUUUGACUGGAAUGGCAUGAUUCCUUUAAAAAAUUCAAGCUUGACUUAUACAGCCAAUUAAGCCCUGUUGGGGAAUCUGGUCUCAUACCUUGUCCACACAGAGUCCUUGUACAAGUUUCCCGACCUGUGAAAGAAGAAAGAGCUUUAACAGACAUUUGAUAAUGAAUUGUUACUUCUUACUCAUGUUUAUAUAUAAACUCUUGACUGUCAAUGCUAUAAAAGACAAUUCAAAAGGAAGAAAUGCAGUUAUAUUGAAACACCAUUCAAAACAUCACAACAAGAAAUGCAGUCUACUAUAAACUGGCAGAGAAGCAGGAUUCAGGUGAAGGAGACCUCAGGGGACCAGGGACCAGCUGAAGGACGUUUGCCUUGUUCAAGAUGCAGUUUCCAAAGUCAUCAUCAUUGUUCCCAUCCAAGCUAGCCAAAAGAGAAGAAGAAUAUGGAGAGAUAUAUGUGAGAGAAUUUUGGGA